rnacentral:rRNA from 1 species
UACGUAGGGAGCAAGCGUUGCCCGGAAUCAUUGGGCGUAAAGCGCGCGUAGGCGGCCCUGUAAGUCCGCUGUGAAAGUCAAAGGCUCAACCCUUGAAUGCCGGUGGAUACUGCAGGGCUAGAGUCCGGAAGAGGCGAGUGGAAUUCCUGGUGUAGCGGUGAAAUGCGCAGAUAUCAGGAGGAACACCGGUGGCGAAGGCGGCUACCUGGACAGAAACUGACGCUGAGGCGCGAAAGCUAGGGGAGCAAACAGG